rnacentral:rRNA from 1 species
GUCCUUUUGUAAUUUAUUUAAGGUCUGACCUGCCCACUGAAAAUUGAAUGGCCGUGGUAUUUUGACCGUGCUAAGGUAGCAUAAUCAUUAGUUUCUUAAUUAGAAACUGGAAUGAAAGGUUGGAUAAAAAAAUAGCUGUCUCUAUUUAAUUUUAUUAGAAAUUUAUAUUUAAGUGAAAAAGCUUAAAUUUUGUUAAAAGACGAGAAGACCCUAUAGAGUUUGAUUAUUAAUUUUUUUUGUUAUUGUAGUAUUUAUUUAAUUAAAAAUAAAAUAAUUUAAUUGGGGUGAUUAAAAAAUUUAAAAAACUUUUUUUAUUUUUCUUCAUUGAUUUAUGAAUAGUUGAUCCAUUAAUUUUGAUUAUAAGAUAAAAUUACCUUAGGGAUAACAGCGUAAUUUUUUUAAAGAGUUCAUAUUAAAAAAAAAGAUUGCGACCUCGAUGUUGGAUUAAAAUUUAUUUAUGGAGUAGAAGCUAUAAUAUUAGGUCUGUUCGACCUUUAAAAUUUUACA